GAUUAAAUCUGAGCCAUUUAAACUCAUAAAAACAACCGCUUUGAUGGCGGUUCACGGCGGUUUCAGUCGGUUUCCUUAGCAGGUUGGUUUCACCACCUUUUCCUGCCCAUGAUCUCCAUGUUUACCCCCACCCCAUGCCCACUCUCCUCCUAACCCUCCACUCUCUCGGUUAUUGUAGGUCAGUUCUUCUCACCUAGCCAUAAAAAAUUGGCAGUUCAAGGUGGUUAUGUGCUCUCACUCUCCUAAAAAUUGGCAGUGUAGAGGGGUUAACUGCCAUGUUUUCCUAAAAGCAUGGGUAUAUCCGUUAAAAAAAUAUGAUCUACAAAUCUUCAACUGCUUCUACGAUUCCCUUAUAUCCCACUGCAAUCCCCUUUGGAACCCUUGAAACGCCCAACACCGAUUUCUCUCCGACGACAGCCUUAACCCUAAUAAGCCUCCGAUCGGUGGUCGACUUGCAGAGAUUUAGGGUUUCUCCAGCGAGUUCAAGAUGGAAAAAUUGAGAAGAUGGAAUCAAAUUCCAAAGAAGCUUUCCUGUUGUAGCCGUCGCCAUCAUCAUUAGCUUCGUCUCCGCUCUCGAGCCAACCGAUCAGGCACUCUUCAUCUUUUUAUCUUUUUUCCAGCCAUCUCCCUACUCUUCUCCACUUCCAUCUUACUGGUAUCAUUUGGCCAUUAGGACGUCAGUCAUUUUUCUCACUCAUUCAAGUACUUCAGGGAAUCGAUGGAGUGGCUAAAAUUAAAGAUGCUUAUAAUUCUGCAACUUGGAUGUUAGGGGUAAUUCCACAUGUCAGGAAGCAGCUCUUGGAGUUAAAUUUGCAGAAGUCUACAAAAAUAGUGUUGUACAAUCGAUCUAAUGAAAACGGAAGGUUUUGCCAAGUGAUGGUCAUCUACCUAAUAUCCAGUAGCUAUUUUGAAGAAGAAGAACACAAGUGAUGCAUUUGGUGAAGACAAUGUUGGCCUUCUCACCGGAGAUACAUGUUAUAUAAGAGGUACAGUUUGGGAAGAAGUAGUGUGUUUUUCCUACAUUCAUCUAAUUUUUUAGAAUGAGUACCUGCUUCCCCAUGCUCUACAAUUCCCAACAGGUCUUUAUUGUGUGGACCUUUUCCGGUGGAUAUAGGAAAAUGUAUUUGUAUUAUUAUGAAGGAAAAUAUCUUAAUGGGCUAAGUGAUGGAAGUCUUUACACUCUCUACACUAGUAUGAUCGAGAUUCUAAACACUAAGAAUGCUGACAUGAUGGGUUGGCAUUGCUCAACGGCCUAGGUUUUGGUAAGAUUAGAAAACAAAUCAUUUGAGUAAAUUCAAGAGCACAUUUGUCCUUUUUACAACUCAUCCUAUAUUUGCCAUGUAUUUAAAUACCCUCGCAUAAAGACUUUUGAGAAUGCUUCACCAAGGGUGAACUUACAUUGGCACGGUGGGAUAUAUUAUCACAUAAGAACAUUUAAACCAUGCCACAUGUUGCCCCCUUGCUACCAUAUAUUAGUGUUGAUACUUUGACAAAUGGGCACCAUGCAUCAAGUCAACAAGUCAAAAAAGGCCAUCUUUGAGGUUAAAGGGGACGAUCCAAAAGCCGAAAAAAUUGAGGGAGUAAACCAUGUUUGACUGUUACAAAACUUUCCCACAUUGUUGCCUACCGUUUACUUUUGCAUUAAAAUGACAUCAUUUCAUGUUUUGUCAAUCACUUUUAUUUUAUAUUGUUGUGUGGUUGUACACUAUUCACGUUCGUUUUCCUUUUAUAAAUUAAAAA